UAAACGGAGGCCAAAUAGAGGUGCCUAGCUGUUAAUUAGGAGAUUGUAGUUAUUCUACUCGUUUAG
rnacentral:tRNA from 1 species